rnacentral:siRNA from 1 species
GAAGCAAGAUCCUUUACUCCAAU